UACAGAGGUCUCAAGCGUUGUUUCGGAUUCAUUGGGCGUAAAGGGUGUGUAGGUGGCGCCGUAAGUCCGGGUGUGAAAUUCGGAGCUUAACUCCGAAACUGCAUUCGAUACUGCGGUGCUUGAGGACUGGAGAGGAGACUGGAAUUUACGGUGUAGCGGUGAAAUGCGUAGAUAUCGUAAGGAAGACCAGUGGCGAAGGC
rnacentral:rRNA from 1 species